rnacentral:rRNA from 1 species
GGCAGCAUGGUCUUAGCUUGCUAAGGCCGAUGGCGACCGGCGCACGGGUGAGUAACACGUAUCCAACCUGCCGUCUACUCUUGGACAGCCUUCUGAAAGGAAGAUUAAUACAAGAUGGCAUCAUGAGUCCGCAUGUUCACAUGAUUAAAGGUAUUCCGGUAGACGAUGGGGAUGCGUUCCAUUAGAUAGUAGGCGGGGUAACGGCCCACCUAGUCUUCGAUGGAUAGGGGUUCUGAGAGGAAGGUCCCCCACAUUGGAACUGAGACACGGUCCAAACUCCUACGGGAGGCAGCAGUGAGGAAUAUUGGUCAAUGGGCGAGAGCCUGAACCAGCCAAGUAGCGUGAAGGAUGACUGCCCUAUGGGUUGUAAACUUCUUUUAUAAAGGAAUAAAGUCGGGUAUGCAUACCCGUUUGCAUGUACUUUAUGAAUAAGGAUCGGCUAACUCCGUGCCAGCAGCCGCGGUAAUACGGAGGAUUCGAGCGUUAUCCGGAUUUAUUGGGUUUAAAGGGAGCGUAGAUGGAUGUUUAAGUCAGUUGUGAAAGUUUGCGGCUCAACCGUAAAAUUGCAGUUGAUACUGGAUAUCUUGAGUGCAGUUGAGGCAGGCGGAAUUCGUGGUGUAGCGGUGAAAUGCUUAGAUAUCACGAAGAACUCCGAUUGCGAAGGCAGCCUGCUAAGCUGCAACUGAC